AUCCGGGUGACGAGUCCUAAAUAGGACGAAACGCGCGUCCUGGAU
rfam:Schistosoma mansoni strain Puerto Rico chromosome 6, complete genome